UACGUAGGCAGCGAGCGUUGUUCGGAAUUACUGGACGUAAAGAGUGUGUAGGCGGUGCUCUAAGUUCGGUGUGAAAUCUCCCGGCUUAACUGGGAGGGUGCGCCGGAAACUGGAGUGCUCGAGCGUGGGAGAGGAAAGCGGAAUUCCUGGUGUAGCGGUGAAAUGCGUAGAUAUCAGGAGGAACACCUGCGGUGUAGACGGCUUUCUGGACCAUUGCUGACGCUGAGACACGAAAGCGUGGGUAGCAAACAGG
rnacentral:rRNA from 1 species